GAUUUUUGACAAUGGGGGCAACACUGAUCCAGCCAUGCCACGCGUGUGAAGAUUAUCUUCGGAUUGUAAAGCAUAUUAAUUUGGGAGACAGAGCUUUAUGCUAUUACUCUGCAGUGUAGGCAUUACCAAUAGUAUAAGCACUUGCUAAUUAUGUUCCAGCAGACGCGGUAAUACAGAGGGUGCAAGCGUUAAUCGGAAUUACUGGGCGUAAAGAGCGGGUAGGUGGUUCAGUAAGAUCGGUGUGAAAGCCUCGGGCGUAACCUGGGAACUGCUGUAAUAACUGCUGAGCUAGAGUACGGUAGAGGGUAGUGGAAUUGCCUGUGUAGCGGUGAAAUGCGUAGAUAUAGGAAGGAACACCAGUGGCGAAGGCGACUACCUGGACUGAUACUGACACUGAGGUGCGAAAGCGUGGGGAGCAAACA
rnacentral:rRNA from 1 species